CGACCGGCUAUCAUUAGGUCGAACACAGCUGUUGCAAAGUAAUCACUAACAGUUUUACGAGCCUGUCUUGAGUAAGCGCAUGAUUCAUAAUGAUGCUGGCACCUGUCGUCCUCAUCAGCUCCAUCAUCUUUAUGCACUUUGCAGGAGGCACAACAAACGACAUCGCAACAUAUAAAACUGUUACCCAGGACGGCUUGAAACUGCAACAGAGAAGUGGGUGCCCUCUGUCCACUUGCGCAGUCCAUACACUGGAACAACAGUUGAGCCACUUCACCGACGACAGCAAAAAUAAGUCAGGAGGCACGGGCCCAGAUAGCUUCGGCCGGAGGAAGAGAAGGUCGGUACAAGACAGAAAACUUCUUCUGGAACUUGUAGCCGGAAGAGUCAGACGCUGACGGGUUCCCCGACCCCCACCUGAUGGCGCACGACACUUUUACUUUUAAUAAGACACACGUUAAUUUUUGAAUUUUGGAAAUAAAAGUCUCGUAUUCUUGUGAGGGAUUGGUUGAUAGUAAAAGAAAAACGUAGAGUCGUUAGGCCCAAACUACUCAGGACUAGCUAGUCCAGUACGCGUUAUUGAGUGUUCAUUAUAUGUAAAACAAAAGUUGAUCGUGAACGAACUAUGGAACUGUGCGACCUGGCGAACUGGAACUGUGCGAACUGGAAUCAUGUGCAACGCUGCAGUGGUCGGUACUUUGGUUACUCUUCCCCACCUGUGGUGCCUUCGCGCGAAGUGCAGCAUGUGUUACAGCGGAUGCUACAACAGAUGAUGUAGGACAUGUCGACCCUUGAACC